rnacentral:tRNA from 1 species
UGGCUCAGUUGGAGGAGCAUGGCGCUUACAACACUAGGGUUGUGGGUUUGAUUCCCAC